UCGACCAAACACAGGAGAAAUAGAACCUUCAUCUCAACACCUUAAUUUCCCUCAAAUCCUUUCAAUUCUCAAAGAAGAAUUCGAUUAGGAAGCAAUCUUAAGCUAGAAUCUUGAUCACUGACCCUAGGGGAUCAAAAGGCAAUUUGGGUAGGUCGUCUAGUAAUCAAGGAGGAUCAGACAACCAUUUGAAAGGAAAGCUUUAAAAGGUAACUAUAGAAACUUGCGGAUGAAGAUCAAGCUAUGUUUUAGAGCCGAACACGCGCAUAAAGAAGCUUCCGCAAAUGAAACUAGCUCUUUUGUCGCAAAACACUUUGAUGAUUGUGUUUUCAUACUUUAGUACAUAUUGUUAGUAUGUUUUAAAAGGUUAAAAAUGUUGGGUUUGAACAACAUGUUUUGGUAACAGUUGUGAACGUCUGUGUAUACUUUUGAAACUUA